rnacentral:rRNA from 1 species
GACGGUCUUGCUGUCACUUAUAGAUGGAUCCGCGCUGCAUUAGCUAGUUGGUAAGGUAACGGCUUACCAAGGCAACGAUGCAUAGCCGACCUGAGAGGGUGAUCGGCCACACUGGAACUGAGACACGGUCCAGACUCCUACGGGAGGCAGCAGUAGGGAAUCUUCCGCAAUGGGCGAAAGCCUGACGGAGCAACGCCGCGUGAGUGAUGAAGGUCUUCGGAUCGUAAAACUCUGUUAUUAGGGAAGAACAUAUGUGUAAGUAACUGUGCACAUCUUGACGGUACCUAAUCAGAAAGCCACGGCUAACUACGUGCCAGCAGCCGCGGUAAUACGUAGGUGGCAAGCGUUAUCCGGAAUUAUUGGGCGUAAAGCGCGCGUAGGCGGUUUUUUAAGUCUGAUGUGAAAGCCCACGGCUCAACCGUGGAGGGUCAUUGGAAACUGGAAAACUUGAGUGCAGAAGAGGAAAGUGGAAUUCCAUGUGUAGCGGUGAAAUGCGCAGAGAUAUGGAGGAACACCAGUGGCGAAGGCGACUUUCUGG